rnacentral:rRNA from 1 species
UACAUGGGGUGCAAACGUUGCUCGGAAUUAUUGGGCGUAAAGCGCGCGUAGGCGGUUACUUAAGUCGGAUGUGAAAGCCCUCGGCUUAACUGAGGAAGUGCACCCGAAACUGAGUAGCUAGAGUACGAAAGAGGGUCGCGGAAUUCCCGGUGUAGAGGUGAAAUUCGUAGAUAUCGGGAGGAACACCGGUGGCGAAGGCGGCGACCUGGGUCGAGACUGACGCUGAGGAGCGAAAGCGUGGGGAGCAAACAGG